UUUCCUAUAUAAACGUCUGCUGAAGUUCAUGUUCAAUAAACAAGAUGAACACUGAAAUGAAGUCUUCUCUGAAAUUCACAUUCGUUUUGGCUUUCUUCAUCAUUGCUACAAAUAUGAGUGUGAAAGCUAAAGAACAAUCCUCAGUAUCUCCACAGGCACGUUGUUCCAGAGACACAGAUUGUAAAAAAUAUUGUCCAACGUGCUAUUCAUGUAAUUGUGUGAAACAAGUUUGUUUUUGCGAAAGUCCACCUUCUGCUGCUAAUGCCCAUGCUCCACCAUAUUGAGCAUGCAUGGUCACAUUGUAAUUCAAUAUGAAUGUUAAAUAAAAACUUUUUACCAUUUUGAUUA